UAAGGAAUAUUGGUCAAUGGACGAAAGUCUGAACCAGCCAUGCCGCGUGGAGGAUGAAGGUCCUCUGGAUUGUAAACUUCUUUUAUCUGGGACGAAAAAAGGUCUUUCUAGAUCGUCUGACGGUACCAGAUGAAUAAGCACCGGCUAACUCCGUGCCAGCAGCCGCGGUAAUACGGAGGGUGCAAGCGUUAUCCGGAUUCACUGGGUUUAAAGGGUGCGUAGGUGGGUUGGUAAGUCAGUGGUGAAAUCUUCGAGCUUAACUCGGAAACUGCCAUUGAUACUAUCAGUCUUGAAUAUUGUGGAGGUUAGCGGAAUAUGUCAUGUAGCGGUGAAAUGCUUAGAUAUGACAUAGAACACCAAUUGCGAAGGCAGCUGGCUACACAUAUAUUGACACUGAGGCACGAAAGCGUGGGGAUCAAACAGGAUUAGAUACCCUGGUAGUCCACGCCCUAAACUAUGGAUACUCGACAUACGCGAUACACUGUGUGUGUCUGAGCGAAAGCAUUAAGUAUCCCCACCUGGGGAAGUACGAUCGCAAGAUUGAAACUCAAAGGAA
rnacentral:rRNA from 1 species